rnacentral:rRNA from 1 species
AUGAAUCCCCGGGCGCCUGGAUGGAAUAAGAGGCUGAUGCAGAGGAGGGAUUUUUUUUUCAAGUUUUGGGGAUUCUCUCUGCUUGAGGAGGUAGGGGAGAGUUUGGUGCCGGCCCUUGUGGCUGUGAAUGGCCUUGCGGUGGUGGAUUUGGAGGUGCCACAGCAGGCGGAGCACAAGGCGGCACAACAUUGGCCAGUGGACAGCAGUGAAGAACAGAUCUUCUCGACGAAGGAGGCAGUGGCCGACAGAAGGGAGAGCUCGCGUCCAACUUUGGAGCUGUCAAUGGGGAAGAUGAAUCCCCAAGCGCCGGGGUGGAAUGAGUGGUUAGUGAAGAGCAACUUGCAUCGCAUCAGAGAAUCAAGGAUUUAG